GAUGAACGCUGGCGGCGUGCCUAAUACAUGCAAGUCGAGCGAACGGACGAGAAGCUUGCUUCUCUGAUGUUAGCGGCGGACGGGUGAGUAACACGUGGAUAACCUACCUAUAAGACUGGGAUAACUUCGGGAAACCGGAGCUAAUACCGGAUAAUAUUUUGAACCGCAUGGUUCAAAAGUGAAAGACGGUCUUGCUGUCACUUAUAGAUGGAUCCGCGCUGCAUUAGCUAGUUGGUAAGGUAACGGCUUACCAAGGCAACGAUGCAUAGCCGACCUGAGAGGGUGAUCGGCCACACUGGAACUGAGACACGGUCCAGAAUCCUACGGGAGGCAGCAGUAGGGAAUCUUCCGCAAUGGGCGAAAGCCUGACGGAGCAACGCCGCGUGAGUGAUGAAGGUCUUCGGAUCGUAAAACUCUGUUAUUUGGGAAGAACAUAUGUGUAAGUAACUGUGCACAUCUUGACGGUACCUAAUCAGAAAGCCACGGCUAACUACGUG
rnacentral:rRNA from 1 species